rnacentral:rRNA from 1 species
UCCGGAGAGACUAACAAGGAUUCCCCUAGUAACUGCGAGUGAAGCGGGAAAAGCUCAAAUUUAAAAUCUGGCUUAGCUUCGCCGCCCGAGUUGUAAUCUAGAGAAGCAUUAUCAGCGCUCGCGGCGUGUACAAGUGUCCUGGAAUGGACCAUCAUAGAGGGUGACAAUCCCGUCUUUGACACGGCUGCCUUUAGUGCUAUUGAUGUGCUCUCAACGAGUCGAGUUGUUUGGGAAUGCAGCUCUAAAUGGGUGGUAAGUUCCAUCUAAAGCUAAAUAUUGGCGAGAGACCGAUAGCGAACAAGUACCGUGAGGGAAAGAUGAAAAGAACUUUGGAAAGAGAGUUAAACAGUACGUGAAAUUGCUGAAAGGGAAACGCUUGAAGUCGGUCGCGUUGGCUGGGUAAAUUCGAGAAAUCAACCUUGCUUUCUUGAAAGCUUGGCUUAUUUCCCAGCUGACGGGCCAGCAUCAGUUUUGACCGGUGGAUAAAGGCCAAGGGAAUGUGGCACCUCUUGGGGUGUGUUAUAGCCCUCGGUCAUAUACAUCGGUUGGGACUGAGGAACUCAGCACUUGUUGCUUARGAUGCUGGCAUAAAGGCUUUAAGCGACCCGUCUUGAAACACGGACCAAGGAGUCUAACAUGCCCGCGAGUGUUUGGGUGGAAAACCCGAGCGCGCAAUGAAAGUGAAAGUUGAGAUCCCUGUCAUGGRGAGCAUCAAUGCCUGGACCAGAGCUUUUGUGAUGGAUCCACGGUAGAGCGUGUAUGUUGGGACCCGAAAGAUGGUGAACUAUGCCUGAAUAGGGUGAAGCCAGAGGAAACUCUGGUGGAGGCUUGUAGCGAUUCUGACGUGCAAAUCGAUCGUCAAAUUUGGGUAUAGGGGCGAAAGACUAAUCGAACCAUCU